rnacentral:rRNA from 1 species
UACGAAGGGGGCUAGCGUUGCUCGGAAUCACUGGGCGUAAAGCGCACGUAGGCGGCUUUUUAAGUCGGUGGUGAAAUCCUGGAGCUCAACUCCAGAACUGCCUCCGAUACUGAAAGGCUUGAGUCCGGGAGAGGUGAGUGGAACUGCGAGUGUAGAGGUGAAAUUCGUAGAUAUUCGCAAGAACACCAGUGGCGAAGGCGGCUCACUGGCCCGGUACUGACGCUGAGGUGCGAAAGCGUGGGGAGCGAACAGG